rnacentral:rRNA from 1 species
UAGGGAAUCUUCCACAAUGGACGCAAGUCUGAUGGAGCAACGCCGCGUGAGUGAAGAAGGUUUUCGGACCGUAAAGCUCUGUUGUUGGUGAAGAAGGAUAGAGGUAGUAACUGGCCUUUAUUUGACGGUAAUCAACCAGAAAGUCACGGCUAACUACGUGCCAGCAGCCGCGGUAAUACGUAGGUGGCAAGCGUUGUCCGGAUUUAUUGGGCGUAAAGCGAGCGCAGGCGGAAGAAUAAGUCUGAUGUGAAAGCCCUCGGCUUAACCGAGGAAUUGCAUCGGAAACUGUUUUCUUGAGUGCAGAAGAGGAGAGUAGAACUCCAUGUGUAGCGGUGGAAUGCGUAGAUAUAUGGAAGAAUACCAGUGGCGAAGGCGGCUCUCUGGUCUGCAACUGACGCUGAGGCUCGAAAGCAUGGGUAGCGAACAGGAUUAGAUACCCUGGUAGUCCAUGCCGUAAACGAUGAGUGCUAAGUGUUGGGAGGCUUCCGCCUCUCAGUGCUGCAGCUAACGCAUUAAGCACUCCGCCUGGGGGAGUACGACCGCAAGGUUGAAGC